GCAACCUGGUCUAGUGGGAGGUGUCUCUGCCUAUAGCAGGGAGAUUGGAACUAGAUGAUCUCAAAGGUCACUUCCAACCCAAACCAUUCUGUGAUUCUAUGAAGAUGCGUGGUCAAGUUGACUGUUUGACCUGAUGAUCUUGGAGGUCUUCUCCAUGCUCAAUGAGUACAUGGUACACGUACUGCUUUUGGGAGAUGUCUGGAUAAGGCGGUGCACGAGACAGAGGGUAAGACAUUGAAUGGGGUAAAACAGGUUCUUAGUAUUUUUCAGUUGUAGAAUGUCACCUUCCAUGCCUUGCAGUCUUUCCUUCUGAGCCUCAUGGGGCUGAUGGGAAGAGAAUGAGUGGUGGAACAGGAGGGAAAAGUAAGAGCCCCACAGAGCACAUGAAGAGGAUCUAUAAAUAGUGCACAGAGCUCUCCGUUGGCAUGCAAGCAUUGCCUUCUACUACCUCAGACAUUUUGACGCAUUAAUUUAUUCUCUUCCUUGGUUUAAGAGGGGGAAGGGCUGAUUCUCACCUGUUCGAAUAUUUCCAGUUACAUGUAGAAAACACCUAUCUAUAACAGAUGAAUCAGUAGUAGUGUAAGAAAAGCCUUUCGCAGCUCCUGCGCCAGCCAGUGUUUGGAUAUGUUUCACAUUACAGCUGCCAGUGUUAACCCUCACCCUGGAGCGGGAAGCACUAGCUGGGCCCUUGUGUGCUCUAGGUUUAUCUGGCUAAUGGCAGCAGUGCAAUGACCCACUUAGAAUCACAUGUUUGGGCUACUCAUGCUGCCAUCUGCAGCACUGGUUUCACUGUGUGCCUACCUGUCUCAGUGACAAGGGAAAAUCUUGAUGCAAGUUUGAUUAGUCUUUUAGUACUUAUGAUGCUUGUAGAAAGUUUUGAAAUGAACUAAAAUGAAGUAGAGGCUGAAAUGUUAAAAGACCUGGUAGUUAAAUAGGAAGCUACUACUCACGUUGGCCGGAGCUAGAGUGAGGCACACAGAGUGGGCCUGGGCCCAAGGGAAUGCAGGACCCUCUCAUAAAGUGAGAUGGGAGCUUGUGGCAGAAGUUUCUUCUCCUGUGUGCAACUGUGUGUCACCGUGUGUGCCUGUCUAGUAACUCUUCAGUGGAAACAGAAUUACGUUAUUCUUGGGGUAUUUUAAAAACUGAUUUUUUUUUUUUUUUUGUCUCUGAUGGAUGGAAAAUGUAUGAGGAUUACUGUGCUAUGCGUGUAUGUGGGUGCGAAAUAAGGGCCUCAGAGUUUAUUUGUGUUGGCAGCAAGAAAUGUAAAUGGUUGAAUCUGGAGUAUCUGUUCUGAGGAUGAACCUAGCAACGCAUUUCUGGUUGUCAGACAACACUUGUUUUUUCCCUAUGGAGACGCUUGUGAUGUAAUGCCACUGUGCAAUGGAACCCUCUGCACCAGAUCUGCCAUUAGACGUGACAUCACUGCUGCAGCUGCUCAGUGGGACAGCUCUUUCAUUUGUUGCCGUGUGAUGGAUAGCAGCAGAGGGGCAGUCUGACAACAUGGUGUCUGGCGUGGAAGUGAGUAUGAACAAAAGUUAAAAACAUACACAAUGGUGAAAACGCGCACCUGCUGUGAUGCUGGUGACAGUAGUAAGAACGAUUUGAGUUCAUCUCAUCCUUGCUUGCAAAGAGGAGGCAAAUCUGGUCCAUGUUACCUCCCUGUAUCAAAUAUAAGUGGACUACAGGAGAAGCAUGAAGCAUGUCUGGAUGUUCUGCACCUGCUCUCUCAAGAUGAUCACAACAGCUGCUCUCUCCAGAUGAUCACAGAAAAGGAGCAGCCACCAACAGCUUUGCAGUUCUCCCAGGCUGCAAUUCAGGUAUGUUGACUAAGUUUUUAAAAUGAUUUGUUUCCUGUUCUAAAUGGCUGUUGCCUGAUUUAUCUCUUUACAAAUUUAAAAAUUCUGCACAAUAGUCAAUAUAACUUUGAAUAGGAGAGAGUGAAUGAAUACAGGAGGAACGUGAAGGCUCCCAAAGCCUAGGCUUUUCAACUUUUACAGAAGAAUCUAAAUAAUUUAUAAAGAAAAAGUAAGAAAUUACAGGCUAAUUUUUAACAUGCAUGUAUAUAUAUAUUUUUUUUACCUGAAUGUAAAUACUCCAAAGCAUCACUUGUGCUCAGGAAGGGAUCACUGACAAGAUUAUAGGGGUUAGAAAAAAAGCAGCUUUAGCUGCAGGAAAUGCACAGAAAAUGGUGAGAGGUGUCUCCAAAUAUAGAGAGACAGUUCUGCUGCACGCAGCACCUAAGUUGCCUCAUGCUCUUAAAUGACCUUCGGCUUACUGUAAUGAGAAAAUGUAGUUCCUGAAUACCUCACUCUGGGGCUACAGAACUUGAUACUGUUUCAGUUCAAAAGUUUUGCUGGAAUGGAAGAGAAAGGAGCUGCUACUUCUCUGUGAAGAAAUACCAUAAAACAACUAUUAUUGCUUAGCCAUAAGCAGUAUGGUCAGAGACCACUGUUGCCUAUAACUGACUGUCCCGAAAUCUGUAAAUAAAUAUGAAACUUAUCCCAAAGCCGAAACAUCUAAAUAAGCACCAGUAUGCAAGUAUACGAAGGUAGGAAAUGGGAAAACCAUCUGAAACAGAUAAAUGGCAGGAUAGGAGCUUUAUGCAUUUCACACAAAACAUACUGUCCCAUGGUGAAGAGAUCGACAAUGAUAAAGAGGAAGAUUUGGAAAAGAUUCCAUCUUUAGCAUUGAAAAUCACUGAUUGAUAAUACCUUAAUGCUAAUCACAGUUUGCAUACAGAAGCUUUAUUGAUUCUAUCUCUGAACAGGAUACUGUGAAAUAUCGAAAGUGAAUGAUAAACUGGAACCCAGGACUGUUUUUUGUAAAGUGAUUUGUGGUGGUUAUGCACUAGAAGGAAGAUAAUUCAGGAACUAUGACAUGUUUGGUGUGAAAAAUCACAGCUAUGAAGGUCUGAUUCCAAACAUUGACAAUGUGAUGAUAUUUGACUCACUACUGAAUGAUACAAUGCUGUCAGUGUUGUCAUACCACUAUAAAGAACUGCCCUUCAACCAACAGUCUCCUUGUAGAGUGUCAGUGGCAAAAGGAGGAAGGUUACAGUACAGAAUUACUAGCUGUUCUUUUACAUUGAAAGGCAUAGCUUUGCUCUUGGCAAGCUGUGUUCCCUUGCAAACUACCCUCUCAUGCCCUUUGCAUGCUUAUGGGAUUGCAGGCUUUUAUGAUGACAGCUAUAUCUUCACAUUACAUUAUGAAGAAUUUGCUAAACAUAUCCUUGAUGCUCAAGUUCUGUCCUAGACUCCACAGUAAGUUUUUAUUAUUUUUUUUCUGAGCAACUAUUCUGGCAGAAUGUAAAGCUUUCAUUUAAAAUACUUCAAUCACAAGCUAGUAAUGCACUUCUAAAAUUGCAAUACAUAUGCUGGAAAGAAAAGAGUGUACUGAAUGCAUAAAUUAUGUAUUAUCACGUUAACAAAAAAUUUACAAGUCCAUCUAAACCCACUCUAGGGGUGAUAUCAAACAAGAAAAAUCCUUACCUUAGUUGAACUUAAAUUGUGUAUUCUGUCACUAGAAUAGCUUUGGGGUAUAGGAGGAUCAGGGUAGUCAUCAGCACUUUUUGAUGCAUUCUUUUUGAUAACUUCUACAUAGGAAACAGGGAAGAUGCCUUGUCUGUUGGUUCCUGGUAUUUUACCUUCAUACCAGUUUUGAUCAACUCGCUUAAGAAGAACAACUCUGUCUCCCUGGAAUGCAUUAUAAAAAUGGGUUAUCAGCAGAUGAGUAGUAAGUUUGUUUGUUUUGAAUCCCUGAUAUUAUUUUAAUGCAUAGAAUUAUUUUCCCUGCAGUGCUGUUUCUGCCUUCACCUUUCUCCUGCCAUACAAUAACCACGUAAACAACUACCAUUCCAGCAAAAGGAAGAUCAUUACAGACUGCACUUGCUGUUCAGCAGAAUCUUUCUUUUGGUUGGAGGAUUAACACAAACUUUUUAUAGGAGCACAACUUGUUUAAAUUGUUGGCCAGUCUACUAGCUAAUACCCCAACUGUAAUAUGGAAGAAUCAUAGAAUGGGGAAGGGACCCCAAGGAUCAUCAAGUUCCAACGCCCCUUCCACACUCAGGGCCACCAGCCUCCAGGUCUGGUACUCUUACCAUGUUGCCCGGGGCCCCAUCCAGCCUGGUCUUGAGCACCUCCAGGGACAGAGUGUCCACAACCCCUGACUGCAUUAAUUUAAAUGCCCCAUUUUCCCUAAGGGUAAUGGAAGUUAAAUGAUUAAAUCCACGCACGUGCUUUGUUAUCAAGUAGAAUUGUAAUAAGUGAAAAUGAAAAGUUCAAAAUUAUUUCAUGGGGAAAAUGAGAUAAAUGCUUUUUCCACUGAGCAUGCUGCACAAGCAGGUAUCUAUGUAAGAAGACAGAUGGGCAGUGGCUCACUUACUGUUUUUAGAGAGCCUAGAAACUGAAAUAGAAAAUAGCAACUUUUUAUUCAAACAUUUCUCUGUUUUGAAACUUAAUGAGCUCCAUCUUAUGUUUGUUGCAAUGUACUUUUUACCCUGUCUUUUUAGAUCAAAUCCUUACCCCUAUUAGUUUUUUGUUCUUAGGUUUCUGUUGUACAUUUGUGGAGUACCCUAAAAUUGGCAUUAUUAGGAUGGAGUUGUAACUUUCAAAAACAAACCAAGACAGGGCUGACAAGAUAGUGACCACCACAAUCAGCAUGAAAGGGAAUUUAAAAAAACAAAAUCAAACUGCCUUCCACCUCUAGUUCUCUCUGUUCCCAUUCCUGAUAUAUAUAUAUAUAUAUUUUUUUUUUUCUAGACCUCUUUGAAAUUUACUAGUCUCAAACAAGUGGAAAAAGAGCCAUUAACUUCAGUGAUGCUAGAUCAGGUGUUGAUUCAGCAUCAAAUAGCUGUAUCCUUAGUUGUACACAAAAGCAGAAACACUGAAUAACUUCUAUGAACAUUAAUUCAUUUAAAAAAGAAAGUAAAUGAGGUAGAAUUUUCCAGUGGGUAGAGAAUAUGUAAUACUUAUAACUAAGUAUAUAAUACCUUCAAUAAUAAAGUUCCUACAGCAAGAGUAUCUCAGUCAGACAAACCCCAGCAAUUAAACAUUUGUUUUGAUCAUACGUACUAAAGGAUUGUCACCAACAUGUUUGUGUAUAGACAUCACGUAUGUUACAAAGAGCAGACUAUUAUUAAGACGAAAUAUAUGCAGUACUUUUACAAACGUGUCUGAGCCUUUCUUCUGAAUUUUGCUGCUUUCUAUUUUCUGUAUUUUUAUUUCUUCUGUAGUAAAAACCUCACCAUGAUAAUGAAGACAGUAACAAUUCCUAAAAAGGUCAAUGGAUAAUUGAAAUGGAAAGUAGAAAAAUUGGGUUGCCAGUUAGGAGGUGUUUGCAUAUGGCAAUUAUAUUUAUAUACACAAAAUAUUUAAGCAAUUUGCAGGCAGCUGGGAAAGAAUGCAAGCUAAUGAGCUUACAUCAGCAGCUUUCUACCAUUAUAUUGCUUUGUGCAUAGCAAAUUUAGUACCAAAGCACUGUAUUUACAUAUACAUUUAUUUUGUUUAGCAGUAGACAUCAUAAUAUUUUUUUGAUAAAGAUAGUUCUAAGCUGUACCUUUCUAAGUGAUAACUCCACGUUUGUGUCUGCACUGAAAUUAUAUUUGGCAAUAGCUUCUCCAAUCUCUCCAAUCUGUGCAGGAGGAGGCGGCCUGGCAGGCUGUGCUUUUUCUGGAGGAGAAAGCUUCUAGGGAGAAAAAUACCAACAGAUUUUAAUCAUUUGCAUGUAGCUUGCGGAUCUGUUACAUGAAAUAAUUCAAGGAAUUAAAACAGAGAACAAACCUCAACAUAAGAAAUUGGGAAAAUUCCAACUCUUCCAUGGUGCUCACCUUCAUACCAGUUUUGAUCAAUUUUCCUGAGGAUAUAGACAGUAUCUCCUUUCUUAAAGGACAGCUCUCUGUAACAGAUUCAUUUAAAUCAGGUGUUUAUAGCUUUACAUUUGAACUCCUCUACCUGCAUACCUCCUGCAGUUUCUAAGUUCAAAACUGAAACAUAAUCUAGCAACUAAACAUUUGGAGAAAAGAUGUCAUAGCUGUGGUACGCUUACCAGUUGAUUUUAACCUUUAAAACAAAACGAUUGGCAUUUAUGAAUACUGGAUGCUAUCGGUAAGUCAUAUAGGCCUAUUUUUUACUCCAAGAAAGUAUCUGUAGUUAUUAUCAGAGUGGACAGUACGGUGUCUGCAGGCAAGCAUGAUGACCUUGGGAUUCCCUGUUUAGACGCUGGUGUUAUGACAGGUAUCGGAGACAUAGUUGGUGUUCUCGACAAAUCGGUAGGGAAAGCUACUGAACACACUGCAUGCUUCUGUGGCCAAUUACUACCUUUUUGCAGCAGCAUAGCUUGGAGUGCUUCUGUGCCACCUGUUUUUCUUUUGAGACCAAGCUGAUCAGAAGCACGAUUACGUUCUCACCAUUUCUGAGAAUCAAGGCCUGUGAUACGCUUUAUGUUGGAUACUGAAAAAGGGAAUUAUCCAAACCAUUAAGAACAUUUUCAGUACCUGGGUGGUAUUUGCUGUACUUUUUUUUUUUUUCCAGGACCUAAUCUGCUGUUCUGAUAAUUUGUCAGUUUACACAGCUAAUGCAAUAUUAGUGACAAUGGUGUACUGCAUGUAAAGAAUGCUUGAACACCCUGGAUCACCAGAGUGACAGCAAAAAUGAAAUACAGUGUUCUCCUCUGACUCCCUCAUAUCCUAGAACAGUAUUUUCUGUUGUAUUUUUUUGUUGGUUUGUUUUUCCUGACAGACCUCUGUAGUUUAUCUUGGUAUGGGAUAUCUUACAUCCUGCAGAAAAUCUGUGGUAAGACAGGAUGUAUGGAAGAUUCUGAAGCACCGUACAGAAUUUUGGUAAGAAAACAAUCUGUCUACAACAGCACACUAAGCAUGCUACUUUGUGUACCUAAAUAUGAUUUACAGCAAAGACCAUUCAGUGGGCAACUUGGAGGAGUUGCUAUAGAAAGGUGAAGAUGCACAGCUGCUCACAUGUUCAAGUAAGUACAAUGGAAAGUAGAAUAAUUUAUAACAUUUUAAUUACAAAACUUCUUUUGCAGCAUGCUAAUGCAGAAGCUGUUGUGACAGCAGCUGGGUCCUUUUCUUUCAUAUUAUUUGGCUCUAGAAACUGGCUUUAACAGCAGAUAGCUGUGUCAAAUGCUAGAAAGAUUUUCCUUUACUAUGAAUACUUGAAAGAACAAAAGUCUAGUACUUACUUAGAAGUUUGAGCUUUAAAGUCAUAUACAGCUUUAGCUGGCAGUUUCUGAAAAGUAGGCAAAAUGAUUAACACAUUCAGGUAGUAUUACUAUAUGGCAAACAAUUUUUAGCUUUUAAAAAGGUGACCAGGAUCUAAAAAAAGAAGUGCACAUACUUUACAGCAGUUGUCACAGAAAGGCUCUAUUUUGGUAAUUAAAUAUACAACUUACUUUUCUGAGGUUGUUAGGUAUUUGGGACAGUGUUUUAAAAAUAGAACCAGCACCUACCUAGAGUAUUGUCUUUAAUAAAAAAGUCCCCAGAGUUAUUAAAGGGAUCCUAUCAAAUUACGUUUUUGGAUACUGAUACAGUACUCCAUUUCAGCUCUCCUUCAAGUAGGAUGGCCUAAAUAUAAAGCAUUUUUCUCUUCUCUGCUGCUAUUAAAAUUGGUUUUUUGGAUGAGAGGGGAUAUCCUUUUCAUUAAGCGUUUUUAGUCUUUACUGAUUUUGCUUUUUUUGUUUGUUUGUUUGUUUUUUAGUACUGUAACUGAUAAAGCAAAGAAUGAAAGAAUGGAAGUAAUAUUAAAAGAACAGUGGGACUGACUGAAUGCUAAAUCUACAAAAUUGAAUGAAAUUAUGAGGUCUUUUGUCCUCUCAUUGUUUUUUAAAUUAUAGCAGUCUUACACUGCAAGCCAUUCUUACAUACCAAACAUCUUUUCAUAUCCAAACUCAGAAUUUGUUAAAUGCCCAAUACACAUGAAACUUUUUUUUUAACCAUUAUUUUGUAACAAGCAGUCUUCCUUGGACUUAAGACUCUUACUUGAUUUGCAGCAAUGUAACCAUGUCAUUGGGGCAUGGAAUGUGGAAGUGGAACUGAAUUCUGAUGCUGUAACCAGUUCUAAGCUGUACCACCAUUUAACAAACUAGGUAGCUGAGAGAAAAAACUUAAAUUACUUUAUAUAUUAUUAAGUGCAAAGAGUGUUUGUUGUUCAGAGUGUUCAUUUGCUUGUUCUCAGCUCCUAAAUUACAAAAUCAAGAUACAACUAUCACACAAAAUUAUGGUAACUCAAGAGUGUACUGCAUUCAAAUCAAUGGAAAAUGUGAACUAUCUGUAGUCCACAGAUGCUAGCUAAUAUAAGUAUAGUUACUUUAUGACUAAAUAAAAUCCCUGGAGUCUGCUUGUAGACUACUUCAAGUUCUAGAACUUAAAAGUGUGCACACACACACAGAAUAUAUCACUCUCUUAAGCAUAUCUCAAGUGAUAAUUUGUGUCCCUUUCUUUAGAGAUUGUACACCUGCUUCCAUUUCCUCUGUGAAAAAAUUAAAACAAGCAAUUGGUAGGUUAUCACAAUCACCAGAACUAUUACAGAGAUUAGAGAUUGCUGUUAGGAUAAUGCUUUUUGUAUAACACACCAACAGCACUGUUUUGGGUUUUUUUCCUUCCUUUUAAAACAAAGGUAAUGACAGAAUAGCGAUGUCAGGAUUGAAACUGUUGAGGCAUUUUCUUCUGUAAUUCUGUGCUUUUGAAAAAGAGCCUUUCCCCCACUCACACCUGCUAUCCACCAAACAUUCACUUCAGUCAACUACCGUCCACGUUCAUUUAAAUGUAAGUAGAAGAUGCAGCCUAUCUUCUGUUUGAUAUUCUUUAAGUACCUGUCUAUUUAAUGAAAAAGGAGGAUUCUGUCCCAUCUAAAUAUUGUGUUGAUGAGUGCUGCUUCCUUUUGUCUGUAUCAUUAUGUUAUCUUAUAACCAACAAAAAUCUUGCCUUGGAAAUGUUACUGUUUUUUCCAUAUGGAUAUUGCUGCAUUAUUUAUUUUUGGUUUGCUACCUCUUUAUCUGGAGUUCCUCUUCUGUCCCUUGGAGUACAUCGUCCCACAUCAGUGAAAGCAGAAUAGUUUCCAGGAGUUUCCUGGUCUACUGAAAACAGAAUAUCAUUAUGUGAAACUGUGGUAAAAUAAACAUUAAAAUGUGGCAUACUGCUUGGUAUCUUUUAAAUGAAUGAAGAGAUACUGAUUCUAUAACUUCAUAUUUAAUCAGAAGAAAAGCAUGUUAUGUUAUGGUUAAAGUGGACCUUUAGAGAAACAAAGAUACCAACUCUCAAGCCAAGGCUUUUCUCUGAUCCACAGCAGAAGAAUGUGUAACAGAGAAUGGGAAGAGCAAAAUUUUGCCUUACUGUAUGAAGUGAUGCACCCCUGCUGGACCAAAUGGAAGGCACAACAGCAGUACUGAGACUUUAUCAGGUUGUGAGAAGCUUUUCUGAAUGCCAACAAUAUAACCACAUUACUUACACAAAACAUGACUAAAGCAUGCCUCAAUGAGAUAAUUAGAGGAAAUCUUUUCUUCAAUAGGCCAACUUGUUAGUUGUUUUAUUUCAUAAAAAGAUGGAAUUAUAAAUAAUUAUAAAUAAAGAGUUACUCACCAAUCUCUGUGGCAGAUUCUCUCUAAAGCAUAGUUUUCCAAUGCUUACUCGAGGAUGGUACAUUACAGGAUGUCAAAUGCCUCUUUUUGUAUUUUAAUAAAAGAAAAAGAAAAAUCUUGCACUUUCUACUGCUUCCCGUGUGAAUUAAAAUGUAAUGGAAUUAUUUCAGAUCAGAGAAAGAAAUAAACUGUCCCUUGACUUCUGAGAUUUACUAGCGAUUGUAGUCUCCUAACAUGGGCUGCUGGAGACUUCUGACCGAUAUUUGCCCCCCUCUUUGACUUCAUUCCCAUGAUCCGUUCUUACCAAGCUUAUAUAUUUCUAAGUACAAGUAGAAAAAUAGAUUUAAAAACAUCUACUGCGUUAUGCUGCAGUUUUACAGAACAGAGACCUCAAUGGGCUGUUGGCUAAGCCACAAGGACUUCAUGCUAUUGAUAAACACAGUGGGGGCAAAAUUAUUUAACUGCAUCACUUACAUUGUUGGUUGCAAGCAUGUCAUCCCUAGCAAGUUUAUCAUAGUUCCAAUUGUGGACAGCUUUCUUUAUGUGGUUCCCUUGAUGUCACAGAAGCUAUUAGGAAUCUACGUUUACUCUGCACUAUGGAUUUCCCUAUUUCCAAGGACUGGAAAAUUAGUUUCAAGCAAAUGUGAUACCCGAUGAGUACAAUUUCUGAAUUUUUGAAACUUGCUGUCAGUUGUCCAUUGCUCUCUGCUUCUCUUUUUCUCAAAGUAUUAUUUGAGCUUUUUUUAACAUUUAACUUUGCAAUAUUAAAAGAAUCAAACUAGAGUUAGUAAGAAAGAGUACACAAAUGCAUCCUAGAUGGUUUAGUUUAAUUUCUUUUUAAAGUCUGUCAUGUAUUCUUUAAAUGACAGCAUUUUUAUAUUAAACAAUUCUGCUUCCACACAUCCAGCCCUGUGUGAAGGAGCAUCUUUGGGAAGUUAAUGACUUUAAAAGGCUAUUCUUGAAAUCACAAAUGGAUAAAAGAAUGUCUUUCUGAUACUGAUUACAUGUUAUUUGAUCAAACCCAUCUUUAAAGUUUUGAUUAUUGAGAAUUUCUCUUCUGUGAUAAGGUAUUUCUGAGAACUUCAUAGUCACAUUAAAAUUUGCUGAGAAGAAUUAGUUUUGCUGCCACAGAGAUUGGAAACCAUCUGAACCGUGAAAAUGAAAACUUCCUAAAAUAACUUUCAGGUCUAUUCACAAAAAGUAGUAUGAAGCAAUGGAAUUAGUGUAUUUUCAUGAAAAAACAGAAACAACUCUCUAUUACAUUGGCAGAAUUAACAUUAGCAUUUUUAUAGGUAACAUAUUUUACUACAAAGUUUUUUUUACAUAUUUUUGAUGCUGAUAUUUUUGGUUUAAAUAUUCAAGGAAAGGCUCCCUGCAUAUUGUUUUCUACUUGACCAGCAUCUUAAUGAUACAUCCAUUCACUUUCUGAAAGGUUUUUGUUUUUGUUUUAGGAAAAAAAAAAAAACACUCAAUAACACCAUUAUUAUUCAUAGCACUAAUUAUCUUAUAGUUGAAAUACACCAUUAAUCCAAUUGUCCAGAUUACUUCAUUUUGUGAAUAGACAACAAUUUUUUCUAGUUUUGUGAUGGUGUAAAAAUAAGUCUUCCUACAUUAUGAGUUUUGUGGGAUGAACUGUUCUUAUGCUACACAAAUAAAAAUGGAAUGAGAAAGGGUGGGAAAUACAGGGAAUAAAUCACAAGGAGAGAGGAAGAAAGUGAAUCCACCUUGGAAACACAGUGCACUAUCAUUUUCUUGGUUAUUGUUGUUAGUUGUGUCCAUGUCUUGAAGAGAGGCACUAAGAGGUAAUCUUCCACAAUCAUUCUGGUAAAGUGGGCAAUGAGUAGCACCAUCUUGAGGCAGUGGAUGAAAAGGCUGGUGCAUGGGACUCUUUUUCAGAGCUGUAAGGGAUGAAUUCCUUUCUGGAAUGUCUGGAAGCAGCUCAGUAAUAAGUCUGUGUAAUAUACUGUUGUCAGGCAAGCUUCCCCUUCUUUUUUCAGCUUUAAUUUGGUCACAGAUGUCUUUAAGUGCAGAAUCUAGUGCUUCAAAGACAGAUGACUUGCGUUUUGUCUUUUCAGUUUGUUUUUUAGGGGCUGCACUUUUUUUCCUUCGGAAAGGCACUGGGCUGACUAGGAAUGCUAUCUUGGAGAGGCCAGAUUCUGCCUCCUGCCUCCUUGGAUCUUCAGCAGGUUCUUGUUUAGCCCUUUCAUGUUUCAACAUGGUGGUGAAGCGGGUGUAGGACGCUGGGCAUCUCCCUUUGCAGGAGCUGAUGAGAUGCCUGUGGUGGUGGUGAUGGUGGUGGUGGUGAUGGCCCGAUCCAUAAAAGCUUUCAGAUGAUGUGAAGGAAUAGUGAUCAAAGUCACUUUCACUACAAAAGGAUGACCCCUCUAUCUGGAUAAAGUCACUGAGCAGGGACUCGAUAGAAAAUCGCCGCUGUGAACAUAAACCAUUCUUAGGAGGCUCUAGUGUAAUGUUUGACAACAUUUCAUCACCUAGAUUUGGCAUUGAUUUUGACUUCUGAAUUAGUUUUUCAAAUUCUGAUA